AGGACACACACUCAGACUCUCUUUGUUGUUGUUAACACAAAAACACUUUAUUACAGGACAUUUAUCAGACGUCCAUCACUCCUCAAAUAAGUCACAACAGAGGUUUGACACACACACACACACACACACACACACACACACACACACACACACACACACACACACACACACACACACACACACACACACACACACACACACACACACACACACACACACACACACACACACACACACACACACACACACAUACUGACUGACUGACUUCACUGGGGUCCUCACGGAGCAAUUGAGGAGACAGCAACUGUCGUGAGAGAGAGGGCUGCUAGUUGGGCUGGAUUCUUGAGGGUUGGGUGGGGGGCUAGCCAGGGAACCAGGGGAGGUAUUGGUGGUAGCGGUGUUGGUUCUGGGGAGCUAUUUUUAGCCCCCUGGACCCUAGUAUCGUGACAGCUGUCCCCGCCUUGUCUCUCUAAGAAUAGUCAGCCUAUCAGGGGGCUCCUCUCCCCAGCCUGUGCCCUGUGUGAUGUGACGUGAGUCUGCCGGCUGUCUCAGCUCUGUCACACUCUCAACUAACUCUGUGUUGAACCCCGUUACCAGCAACGUUUUAAGGGCUUAUUUUAGUCAAGGAAGGAUUGGAUCUACCAAAUCUAACUCUACACUACUCACCUACACAGAGGACAGCAGACUUGAUCAGUUCACUUCCUGCGACACGUGGUCCUUUCACUAUCCCACUGGUAACGGCCCCUAGAGUGAAAAAACAGUGAUUUUGGCCUCAAUUGUGAAGAUCCAUCCAUCCAUCUGUCCAGCACUUCUCUCCAUUCCUGCCCUCCCCCCUCUUCCCCCCUCAUCCGGUACAGCUCAUGACAUCAGUGCAGCCAACAUGGCCUUCUCAUCACGCUUUUCCUUCUGGGAGCAAAAGGGAAGUCCUGUUCAGUUUUCCUCACUGCACAGUGUGGGGACAUGGGGUGGGUUACGUUGGUGCCGCACUGCACAGUGUGGGGACAUGGGGUGGGUUACGUUGGUGUCUGUAGAAAUGUGUGCCCUGCAUGUAUCACACCUUCACUAAGAGUCAUUUUGGGGCUUGAGAGUCACGUCGUUGAAAGCUUGUGGUCUGACAGCCGUGCUUCUGUCAUAGUUUUCUGACAGUGUGCUAAAAGUAACCGUUGUCAUCGGAUGCAUGAUCCAAUAUCAGUGUUUGACUCACCGUGGAAAAACCUUGACUGGAGUAAUUUGCUUUGACAAAAUAACGAGGUCCGUGAUAUUGCUGCAAAUACUUUAUUCUGGGGGAGCUCUGACUGCCAAGCUGGCUUUAGAUUUAGUUUUGUUUGACUGCCAUUUUGUUUGACCAUCACAACACAUCCUGUAGCUCCACAGUAAACGGAUGCCUCCCCGAAACGUUACCCAAAAUAAAAGAUCAUAGUGGUAAAUACAUCAAAAUAAACCCAAAGCUUUUUUAAGCAGGCGUUGUAGUUCUCAGGUGUCACUAUUACAUCAAAAUGGGCCAUAUUAAUGCUCCUUUGUGGCUACAGAUUAGUGUCUGUGAAUAAUAUUAGUCUUAACGUUCAAAUAGACACCAUGUGGUGUGUGGUAUGGUAAGUGAUAGCGCUUCCAGAUAGCAGACAUCCAGGUUUGCAGCAUGGUCUAUGUUUUGCAUGUUGUGCAGUGAGGGAGUGUUUCCUGCAAGUACCCCUGGCGAGUGACCACUUCUAAGUGUCCUAGGUUUUGACCUCAGUCCCUUGUCUUACCGAUCUCUUUAGGUCAAAGAAGAGGUCAGACCACCAGGCUCCAAGACCUCAAACCAGGGUUCAGACAGCGACAGUGGCAGUAUGAGUAUCCGCUCCCAGUCCGUGCCCAGUCUGGAGCCUGGCAGGGGCCUACUCCGCACCAAAAGCC